UCCUUUCGUAGGUGAGGCAGCAGUAAGGAAUAUUGGUCAAUGGACGAAAGUCAACCCAGCCAUGCCGCGUGAAGGAUGAAGGUCCUGUGGAUUGUAAACUUCUUUUAUAUGGGACGAAAAAAGGGAAUCUUUCUCACAUGACUGUACCCAUAUGAAUUAGCCCCCUUUUG
rnacentral:rRNA from 1 species